UACGUAGGGGGCAAGCGUUGUCCGGAAUCAUUGGCGUAAAGAGCGUGUAGGCGGCCCGAUAAGUCCGCUGUGAAAGUCCAGGGCUCAACCCUGGAAGGCCGGUGGAAACUGUCGGGCUAGAGUCCGGAAGAGGCGAGUGGAAUUCCCGGUGUGAGCGGUGAAAUGCGCAGAUAUCGGGAGGAACACCAAUGGCGAAGGCAGCUCGCUGGGACGGUACUGACGCUGAGACGGCGAAAAGCGUGGG
rnacentral:rRNA from 1 species